ACCAGAAAAGGGAAGCACGCUAUGGGUAAACGCAUGUGGAAAUGAGUGUAGAGGCUUUCAAGUUUAUUAAAAGAAAGUCAAGUUAGUUGCAGAAGUCUGUCUUUAUUGAAUAGAGAUGACACUUAAAACAAAUAUUACCUAGUUUAGUUAUUUUAAUCCCAUUUGUCAUCACUGAGAUAAUUAUGUGUGGAUUCAUCUCUUGUAGAGACAUAUAAAGAUUCAGAGAGGUGACACAUGAUCUGAGCAGUGCAACAAGUGUUACAGUUUCUACUUGACCAGCAUGUUUAUCCAGCCAAACUGUUUAAAUUAAAAUCUUCAAAUCCACUUCAACAAGGCAGUUGUAUGUGGAGUACAUCUUGCCUUGGGAGCACCCUUUGAUUUUACAUCUUGUGACACUCCAAUCAUACGGAGAUGGUGGACUCUUAUUCUUCUGGAGAACUUUGGACUUUCCUCUGAAAGACAUCUGCUCAGGGAGCCAGUGGAAGAGCCUCGUUUCCUUAUUAUAGAGGAAGAGGACGAGGAAAAGGGCCUCAACAAUAUGCGCCCUCCAGAAGCUUGUGUUCUGCAAGUGAACAGCGCUUUGUAGAGAACUGGAUUGCUCAUGACGUUACAAAAGUGAAGCCGCCGCCAUAUUGGUAUUCACUAGUAUUCCCAUAUAUUCUAUUGAAUUAAUAGGAAAUCGUAUGAUUUUAAUGAGAAAACAUCACCUAACAAGUCAGCGUUUUUAUAUCUGAAGUAUUACUGUACAUUUUUUCAAUGCAAACGUCCAUGUAUGUUUUUUGUUUAAUAUACUAUAUUUGUUUAUUUGUAUUAAAAGGUUCCAUUGAUAUACAUUACAGAAGCGAAUAUCAAUAUAUGCAUUACAAAUGACAACGUGCUCAUUCUGACAUCUGAAUAAAGAUUUAUGCUUUGUAUA